ensembl:lncRNA
CUGCCACGACCGCUUUUCCCUUAGAAGGACCCCCGGCACUCAGAGAGCGGCGCAUGAGCGGAGCGAGUGAGCCAGGCAACAACAAGCCUCGCUCCACACCUGCUUAUUUGGUAAAAAAAUACAGAUGCACAAUGAGGGACGUCUGCAGCGACUGAGAAAGAGUCUCACCACAUCCUGACAUGAGGAAAAAGACUUUAUUGAAGACUACAAUGAGAAAAACUAUCAGACAGCAGACGGCUGCAUUCAAGGCUACAGGAGGAGUCCUACGAGGACGAGCUGGUCCAGCUGAUGGUGGCCAGUCGCUGCGGUUCAAAGCCAACACCGACUACGUGGACUUCUACUGGACCACAUGGAGGCCUUCAAACCGGACCAACAAGUUCAGCGACUCCCCGACUCGUGGGUCUGAGGACGCCGCCGAGCCUCGGUCCAGCUGGCCUCCUGUCUGUGGGUGUUUGAGUGCUGAGAGGAUUACCACAGACCUGACCAUGAACACCGUUG